CAAACCUUUUGUCAGUUUGUAGAAAUGUGUCUCUGAAGUGUAUGGUCUCGCCAGCCACGAUGAUGAGUUGUGAUACUCCCUUGUGAGCAUAAAACUGACAGAAUAAUGUUUUUUUCAUAUGUUUUUUGUUCCUGGUGAUUGUUUAUUGUUUUCUUGCAGAGUAAUAAAGAACAGAAUAUUACCAGAGUGGC